rnacentral:rRNA from 1 species
AUUGAACGCUGGCGGCAGGCCUAACACAUGCAAGUCGAACGAGUGGCGGACGGGUGAGUAAUGUCUGGGAAACUGCCUGAUGGAGGGGGAUAACUACUGAAAACGGUAGCUAAUACCGCAUACCAUCGGAUGUGCCCAGAUGGGAUUAGCUUGUUGGUGGGGUAACGGCUCAGCAAGGCGACGAUCCCUAGCUGGUCUGAGAGGAUGACCAGCCACACGGGAACUGAGAAGCUGUCCAGACUCCUACGGGAGGCAGCAGUGGGGAUUAUUCCACAAGGGGCGCAAGCCUGAUGCAGCCAUGCCGCGUGUAUGAAGAAGGCCUUCGGGUUGUAAAGUACUUUCAGCGGGGAGGCGUUACCCGCAGAAGAAGCACCGGCUAACUCCGUGCCAGCAGCCGCGGUAAUAC